CAGUCGCCGCGGGAAUACGUAGGUCCCGAGCGUUGUCCGGAUUUAUUGGGCGUAAAGCGAGCGCAGGCGGUUAGAUAAGUCUGAAGUUAAAGGCUGUGGCUUAACCAUAGUACGCUUUGGAAACUGUUUAACUUGAGUGCAAGAGGGGAGAGUGGAAUUCCAUGUGUAGCGGUGAAAUGCGUAGAUAUAUGGAGGAACACCGGUGGCGAAAGCGGCUCUCUGGUCUGUAACUGACACUGAGGCGCGAAAGCGUGGGGAGCAAACAGGAUUAGAUACCCCCGUAGUCCCUGUCUCUUAUACC
rnacentral:rRNA from 1 species